rnacentral:rRNA from 1 species
CCUAUGGGAGACAGCAGUGAGGAAUAUUGGUCAAUGGGCGCGAGCCUGAACCAGCCAAGUCGCGUGAGGGAGGACGGCCCUACGGGUUGUAAACCUCUUUUGCCGGGGAGCAACGGGCGUCACGUGUGGCGCCACUGAGAGUACCCGGAGAAAAAGCAUCGGCUAACUCCGUGCCAGCAGCCGCGGUAAUACGGAGGAUGCGAGCGUUAUCCGGAUUUAUUGGGUUUAAAGGGUGCGUAGGCGGAUCGUUAAGUCAGUGGUCAAAUUGAGGGGCUCAACCCCUUCCCGCCAUUGAAACUGGCGCUCUUGAGUGGAAGAGAAGUAUGCGGAAUGCGUGGUGUAGCGGUGAAAUGCAUAGAUAUCACGCAGAACUCCGAUUGCGAAGGCAGCUUACUAAACUAUAACUGACACUGAAGCACGAAAGCGUGGGGAUCAAACAGGAUUAGAUACCCCAGUAGUC